GAGGCCGCACGGCACGCUCUCACGUCAGGACCAGAGGAGCGAGGGAGCGGCCGUAUGUGGCCAGUCUCUGUGUCCCUGUCUGCAGCUCGGGGUUGAGCGGAUCGGGAUGACCUUGGCUCCCAGACCAGACGAGCCAGCGUUCCCAGGAAUCCGGGGUGACCGGCCAUCCCGCUUUGCCUGAGGCUGUCCCAGUUUUGCACCGAGUCCCAUGUCCCCGGAGCCCCUCUGACCCAGGCGCCCGCAGGGCUGGUCUUUCUAAUGGGGGGCGCGGGGCCGGGAUGCACACGGCGUCCCACUCACUUCCGGGCUGGCCACCCCAAGGCAGGACUCGUCACCAGCCGUGUGGACGAUGCUGAGCCAGGUGUCAGCGCCUCCCUGGCACCCGUCUGCUUGGGAAGAGUCCCUGGAGCCUCCCAGGAAGACCACCGUGUGGGUGGUGUGGGACGAGCCCGUCACUUACAUCUGAGCUGAGCUGACCCGCCUCUGGUGUGACAGCUGCUCUGGGCACAGAUGUCACCUGUGCUUUGAUGAGGCACACGGGGAGGCAGGGGGUGCUGCGGGGGGCCUGUGCUCAGGGCUGCAGGGCCUGGAAGGGGGCACCUCCAACCUGAGCGACACCAGCCACUCCCUGGAGAUGACUGCAAGCAGUCUGAGCCUCUGCCUGGGGGUUGGAGAGGCCCCUCCUCAAAGGCCUCUUGCGUCUGGGGUCAGGGAAGAUACAGCAAGAAAUGAGAAACACCCAGGAGGGGGUACUUCCGGGGCACAGAGGGGGGCAGGUGCCGCGGUAAAUGUGGGAGGAACAGGCCUGAGUCCCCCGCCCGGGCGGGUGGGGGAUAACUCGGCCCCCCACUGUGGACGCAGACUCCCCUCCCACCGGCCCCCACUGGCGGCUGACCCUGACCACCCCCUGAGCUCUGGUUCCAUCCAAGCCCAAGACCCGGGCUCCACACUGACCCCUGACCCUUGACCCCCAGGCAGCUACGGGGGCCGGGGGGGGGAGGUGUCCACGGCUCUUGUCCGUGAAUCCCCCUGAACGUAGGACCAUAAGCUGUCUUGUCUACUGUAAUCGAGUUUCUACGUCUUUCUUCCUCCCCCGCGAGCCACCGUGUGGCGUUAACACGCGGGACCCGCCACCGUAAAGGGAAACACGCGUGCACAAAGCCGUCGGCUUCGCUAAAAAGCAUGAACUAGCUGCUUAGGUCAGCGUCAGCUGCGUUUUAAGUGGAACAUUUGUUUGGGGGGGGUAGAAAAAAAGAAGUGUCUACACCACAGCACAGCUCUGUCGGCCACACCUCUGCCGACAGCGGUGAAACGCAAGUGUGGCCUCGGAGCCAGCGGGUCGCUGGAUGCCUGACGCCGGCCACCGGCGGGCUCACAGGUUCAGCCCCUCUGGAGGCUGUGGGAUCGAUCCUGGGCCCAGCCAGAGGGGUCUGGAAACUUCCGUCGCCUCUAAGGGCAGACAGAGCGGCUCCGCGUUCCCCCCAGUGCCCCAGGGCCCUAAUCAAUUAGCAGCAAAUCGCGAAUGCGGAGCAGCUUUCUCUGCCUGUUAACCCGGCCAAGUGCACGCUCAUCAGCUAGCCCGGCCCCCGCGUGCCCGCUCUGCAGAAGCAGGGAGGACGUUUCCCCUUGGCUAUCGAGGCCACCAGUGGAUCAGCGGGGGCCUGCUGGGAUCCUCCCUGGUUUCUGACUUGUUCAAUCUUGAGCAAACGGAGGUCCACCCUGAGGCACAGCUCUGUUGGCCACGCCUCCGCCUUGGCCUCACCGGCGAAACACAGGGACGGCUUUGGAGCCAGCGGGUCCCUGGAACCCUGACGCUGGCCAGCGGCGGCCUCAGAGGCUCAGCCCCUCCGGAGGCUCCACGGCCCCUGGUUCUUGUCUGCAUGCAUUUCCAUCUUCCAACACAGCCCUCGGCUGAGUGAAGGCACCGUCACCAGACAGAGUGGGUGAGUCAUGGGUGGAAAUGACUCCGUAUAAGACCGAGUGACUGAGACGUGGGCGGGUGGACGUGUAGGAGGGUUCGCAUGGGCAGCGACGAGCUCGCCCCGUAGCCCCGGGUCCUGUCUCUGUCCACCGCCUCCAGGGCCACCGCCAGCCUGCCCGUACCUCUGUCUGGCACCCCCACUCAGCUGCCCGGGGCGUGUGGGCAGGUCUGGCUGGUUUCUGAUCCCUGAGACCCUCCACCGUGGCCUGCCCUUUGAGGGGCCUUCAGCAGCGUCCGAUGGCUGGGAUUGGGGGUGGGGGGGUUGCAGAGAAAUGUCUUCAAAGGCUGCCGGACCCCCACCCUCCAUUUCUGCCCUGAACUCUCUAGAAGCAUGGGCUCCGUGCCUCUGACAGCUCGCUUUGCCUUUUCCUUUGUGAAAAAAACCUCGAAGUCCGUAUGUGGCUGGCAGACUUUCUGGAAGUCAGUAAGACAGAAGCAAGGACAGCAGCGGCCGAGACGGAGAGAAAGUUCAGUGCUUCCGACGGAGGCAGCCAAAUUAAAACCAAUCUUUAAAGCGCAGGACCUGGAAGGUGGCCCCGGAGGGAAUGGAAAUCUUGGGGACAGACACCUGUCCUCAGGGGAGCCGCUAACGAUGCAACGGGGCCCUGCACCCGCGGCCCCUUCCUUCCCCGGCUCCUCGCGGAGCGGCCUGGGCCUCGGGCCCCCGACCUCCUCUCCCUUGACCUGGAGUCAGAGCUCGGGGGUCCCGCCUUCCAGAGGCUCCUGAGGGUUUUCUGGGUCCAGCCCACAUCCCCGUGGGACAGUCCGUCCUUCAGAUGUGCCUCCCGCCUGCCCAGCCUCCUUCCGACGCUCCCGCUGGCCUCCUGCCGGCCCUUCCUGCCCGCGAGCCUGGGAGACAGUCCUAACGCGCACACGAGGUGAUGCUAACGGUUCUGGAGCUGGGCCGGGCCUGGAGAGCCCCCCAUUGCCCACGGGGCGCAGGCAGCAUCACUCAAGGGCCCCCCGCGAUCUGGUCCGCCCCCUCCCCCCAGCUCCCACGGGGGCUAUACCUCGGCUCUGGCUUUCUUACUUUCCUUUGUAUUUUACCUUAUGAUCUUUAUUUCAUGCAGGUAGAGACCGCAUCGCCUUGGGGCG